ensembl:snRNA U1 U1 spliceosomal RNA
AUACUUACCUGGCAGGGGAGAUACCAUGAUCACGAAGGUGGUUUUCCCAGGGCGAGGCUUAUCCAUUGCACUCCGGAUGUGCUGACCCCUGCGAUUUCCCCAAAUGCGGGAAACUCGACUGCAUAAUUUGUGGUAGUGGGGGACUGCGUUCGCGCUUUCCCCUG